GGGGGAGCCGCCGGAGGGCAGCUGGGGCUGCGGAAUUUUGGAAGCGCAGAAGUUUUCUCCUCCUGUCCUGUAACUGGUUUUCACUCACUCAACUGAGAGAUUUCUUUGUUGCAAUGAUGGGGUCUAAGAUAACACUUCUGGAGGCUGCAGGCGAGAAACACAGCUGAUAUCAUCUUUUAUUGUGUGUUGUUAUUUGCCUAGCAUUAUAAAUUAAGGAGGAAUAGUAACAAAGAGCUUGAAGACAUGCACAGCUCACAGGCCCCGGGUGGAGGCUGGCGACAUCAGACAGACAGAACCAAGACAUCUGAGGGGCAACCAGGAGGUGCGUGUGGCUGCAGAGCACACAGACUUGUCUUUGGACAAAAUUGAGAAGAACUCAUAAACUUGGCUUCCUCGCUUCUGCUCCUCAGACGCGCGUGGAUGAUUUGAAGAUAUUAGCCUAACAAGAUGGAAGCAGGUUUAAAAUUUUACAUAAGAAGUUACCUUUUUCAGCUGGUCCUAUAGUACCCCUCCUCAGGAAUGUCUCCCCAGUGCAAGGACAAAGACUGAAGAGACUGCUAUAUUGAUGGACUCUCAAGCCAACUAUGAAGUUGAAACAAAGAAAGUGAUCACCUGAAGACACCUCCUCUGCUAAGAAACACCCCCAAAUUGUGCAGCUUCUGCCACUAGAACUCUCAGAACAAGAGACAAUCUUUUCAAGAAACAGAAAAACUCAAUAAUGACAUCUAGAUUUUCAUGAGCCAAGAACUUUCCCUUCCUCAUGUGUAUUCCUCUGUUUGUACUUAAAUUCAUGUGACAUUCAUUUUUUUCCUAGUAUGGAUAUGCUUAUUAAUGCACUUGUUUCAAAAUCCCAAAUUGCACAAAUGUGUUAAUAUUUUAAGAAACAAAAUGAAUCCUACAAGGAGAAUGAUUUUUAGCCACACAUAGGGUUGGAUCUUGAGAGUGACCUACAGAAUAAAAGUACUUUUAAAAUAAAGUAGUCAGAGGCUAUUCAAAGGGUAAAAUAAUCAUAGUACCACAUUGGUCCACUUGACACUAACCAAUCGAUCAUUUUUUUUUAAUCAAGAAAGCUAGAUUCUAUCAGAUAAAAUCACUGCUUCUAAAGAGUUUAAAUCUAGUUAGAAAAAGUUAUAGAAAUGUUUGCAAAGAUAAGUAACAGAUAGAGUCAGUAGAGGAUAAGAUCAAAAACAAAACCAAGCAAAAGAUGAGUUCAGGGGAGUUUGCCAUCAAGUUGGCAAAACUGACUUACUUAGGGAAGAAAGUUAUAAAACAGGAAAAUAUGAGAUGAACCUUGAGUGAUGUGGAAGAUUUAGAUAAAUGGAAAGGAAGGAGAAAAUGGAGUUCUUUAGGUGGUUGUAAUUGGAGGAGGAAAUGAAUACACACAUCUUGUUGACUUAAACCCAGACAUUCAGCAGCUCUCUAUACAUAUCUGGAAAAGACUGCACAGUCACCUCCUGUCUCUCACCCCAGGUAUUACUUAGAAUUAUUAUCAUAUUUCCCUUCCUUUAAAGUAAGUAAGGGUGAUUGGUGACAAUAUGGAGAACUAUGAUUUUUCCAUUAACCUAAUAAUAAUUGGUAUUUAUUGAGUUCUGUUAAGCAUUUUACAUAUUAACUCACUUAAGCCUUUCAACAGCCUUGCAAAAUAGGUAUUAUUAUCCCCAUUUUACAGGCAAGAAAACUGAGGUUUAAGUAACUUGCCGAAGUGCCAUAUACAGGGCUCACAUUCAGUAUUGCAGUUGCAAAGCUCAUGAUCUAUAGUGCCAAGUUGCAAUAUUGUAGUCAAUGUCACAAUUAUUACCCCUUUUUAUAUUCCUUGAUAUUUUUCCAUGGCAAACAAUUAGCUAUUUCAUUUAAUAAUCACCUAAAACUUUUCAGUCUUCUGAUUAAAAUUACGCUGGAGUGAUAGAAUGUAUUUUCAUGAUAGAAAUUGGGAAAAAAAAUGGGGAAUGAAGUUUAUCAGCAUUUCAGACUUGUUUUUUUUUUUUUUUUUUGCAAGACUUUGAUGAGAUUGUUCACUUUUGUCUAUGUAAAAUCCCAAAUCCUUGAGAAUAAAAAAGGGGGAGGUUUAAGUCACUUGUUGCAAUGCCCUUUUUAAUAGAGGCAAUAAAUCUAAAGGCCAUAAAUUUAGAGUGACUUACAGAAGAUCGAACUUUGGAGUGUGGCAGAGUAAGGGAUGGAAACCGGGCCCUCCAGUUCACUAUCAGUAGCUUUUGCACUGGUCUGCCCUUCCUAAAUUAAGUAUGCACUUCAAUUUGAUGAGUGGAAACAGUCUAUCUGGGCAGUAACCAGGGAGCUUUGUGCCUAGUAGAUUGCUUCUGUUCUGCACUUCUUUGGUUUCCCACCUCAAUGUAAAAAAUAGCUAGCAAUGAAGUCCAGAAGUUGUCAAUGGUUCAUCCCCAGAAGAAUGCAUAAUGUCCAAAGUUGUAUGUGUAUGAUGUCUUCAAUGGUAUUAAGUUAUUUCAAAUUCUUAGUUCACCUACAUAAAUCAUUUCUAACAAGCAUCUUCUUAACCAACUUUAUGCACAGUGUAUGUUUGUAAGUGCUUCUGCACGAAUGUUUAUACAUGACUGUUUCCAUAGUACUUAUGUUUUUAAAAAUAUUCAGUCAUUUCCUACUAUAAUCCUCAUGUAUCCAUGUAACUGACUCAAAAAUACUUCAGCCACAGAAAGCUAAAACUGAGCAAAUCUCAUUCUUCUUUUCCAUCCCCUUUGCAUGUGGCUGGCAUUUAGUAAUGAUUAAUAAUAUGGCCAGCUGAAUAACAGAGGUUUGAGACACAAUUCUUUCUCAAAGGAGUCAGCUAAGCUGGGUCUACUUAUGGACAAACAUCUAAAUGUGUGGAAGUAUCUGAUAUUUGACAAUGGUAAAUUUCCACUUAGCUAGCUAGCAUUGUCAGACUUCAAUCUCCUCAUGGCUCUGGCCGUCCUGUUUUAAGCAUGAUAAUUGUUGGCCACAUCUCACAUAGUUCUCAUUGAGUGAGUUCAUAAAUAAACAGGGUUUUUUUUUUUUUUUAAAGAGCAGCCAAGCACAAAGUGUGACUUUGUUGACAUUUUAUGUGACUUUGUCAUA
rnacentral:lncRNA from 1 species